AGCCAAUUGUUUUUUGCUUUCUCUACCUGAUUUGGGUUUUUCUUCCAAUGGCACACAACUCUCGAAACAGCUCCCCCUGGCCACUGGCCUGGCCAGCCGGGCC